rnacentral:rRNA from 1 species
GGGUCAAGCCCGAGAUCUUUAGGAGAAGUCUUAUUGUGAGGGCGAGUUAUAUAACACCAUAGGGCUGGCCGUCCCAUAUGAAAAGAUUUUAUUAGAAUUGAAUGAAGCUUUGUUUAUAUAUUGAUAAUGACAGUAUAUAUAUCGUGUCUUGACUAAUUGCGUGCCAGCAGUCGCGGUAAUACGUAAGAGACUAGUGUUAUUCAUCUUAAUUAGGUUUAAAGGGUACCCAGACGGUCAAUAUAGCUUAUAAAAUGUUAGUACUUGACUAGAGUUUUAUGUAAGAGGGCAGUACUUGAGGAGGAGAGAUGAAAUUUCGUGAUACCAAAGGGACUCUGUAAAGGCGAAGGCAGCCCUCUAUGUAAAAACUGACGUUGAAGGACGAAGGCACAGAGAACAAACAGGAUUAGAUACCCAAGUAGUCUUUGCAGUAAAUGAUGAAUGCCAUAGGUUAGAUUAAUAGUUAAUGUUUAUAGACUAAUUGGUGGUUUAGUGGUUUUUUACUUUUACGGCUUAAAAAAAAUACAUUUUUUUUAGCCAUAAAAAAAAAC